AUCUAGCUGACGAGUCCCGAAUAGGACGAAACGCGCAUCCUGGAU
rnacentral:hammerhead_ribozyme from 1 species